rnacentral:rRNA from 1 species
CACGAACGCUUGCGGCAGGCUUAACACAUGCAAGUCGAGCGCCCCGCACGGGGAGCGGCAGACGGGCGAGUAACGCGUGGGCAUCUACCCAUCUCUAUGGAAUAACGACUGGAAACGUGUGCUAAUACCGUAUCCCUCCUUCGGGAGCAAUAUUUAUCGGAAGUGGAUGAGCCCGCGUUGGAUUAGCUCGUUGGUGGGGUAAAGGCCUACCAAGGCGACGAUCCAUAGCUGGUCUGAGAGGAUGAUCAGCCACACUGGGACUGAGACACGGCCCAGACUCCUACGGGAGGCAGCAGUGGGGAAUAUUGGACAAUGGGCGCAAGCCUGAUCCAGCCAUGCCGCGUGAGUGAUGAAGGCCCUAGGGUUGUAAAGCUCUUUCACCGGUGAAGAUAAUGACGGUAACCGGGGAAGAAGCCCCGGCUAACUUCGUGCCAGCCGCCGCAGUAAAAC